rnacentral:rRNA from 1 species
GAUGAACGCUGGCGGCGUGCCUAAUACAUGCAAGUCGAGCGAACGGACGAGAAGCUUGCUUCUCUGAUGUUAGCGGCGGACGGGUGAGUAACACGUGGAUAACCUACCUAUAAGACUGGGAUAACUUCGGGAAACCGGAGCUAAUACCGGAUAAUAUUUUGAACCGCAUGGUUCAAAAGUAAAAGACGGUCUUGCUGUCACUUAUAGAUGGAUCCGCGCUGCAUUAGCUAGUUGGUAAGGUAACGGCUUACCAAGGCAACGAUGCAUAUCCGACAUGAGAGGGUGAUCGGCCAAACUGGAACGGAGACACGGACCAGACUCCGACGGGAGGCAGCAGUAGGGAAUAUUCCGCAAUGGGCGAAAGCAUGACGGAGCAACGCCGCGUGAGUGAUGAAGGUCUUCGGAUCGUAAAACUCUGUUAUUAGGGAAGAACAUAUGUGUAAGUAACUGUGCACAUCUUGACGGUACCUAAUCAGAAAGCCACGGCUAACUACGUG